AGACCCGAAACCCGGUGAUCUAGCCAUGGGCAGGUUGAAGGUUGGGUAACACUAACUGGAGGACCGAACCGACUAAUGUUGAAAAAUUAGCGGAUGACCUGUGGCUGGGGGUGAAAGGCCAAUCAAACCGGGAGAUAGCUGGUUCUCCCCGAAAGCUAUUUAGGUAGCGCCUCGUGAAUUCAUCUCCGGGGGUAGAGCACUGUUUCGGCUAGGGGGCCAUCCCGGCUUACCAACCCGAUGCAAACUGCGAAUACCGGAGAAUGUUAUCACGGGAGACACACGGCGGGUGCUAACGUCCGUCGUGAAGAGGGAAACAACCCAGACCGCCAGCUAAGGUCCCAAAGUCAUGGUUAAGUGGGAAACGAUGUGGGAAGGCCCAGACAGCCAGGAUGUUGGCUUAGAAGCAGCCAUCAUUUAAAGAAAGCGUAAUAGCUCACUGGUCGAGUCGGCCUGCGCGGAAGAUGUAACGGGGCUAAACCAUGCACCGAAGCUGCGGCAGCGAACGUAUCACCCAAGACAACUUUACGGAGUUGACGAUUGACGGAGCGAAGCGACGUCAAAGCGUUCAUUAAAGUCGAGUUGGCUUAGGGAUACGUUCGUUGGGUAGGGGAGCGUUCUGUAAGCCUGUGAAGGUGUGUCGUGAGGCAUGCUGGAGGUAUCAGAAGUGCGAAUGCUGACAUAAGUAACGAUAAAGCGGGUGAAAAGCCCGCUCGCCGGAAGACCAAGGGUUCCUGUCCAACGUUAAUCGGGGCAGGGUGAGUCGACCCCUAAGGCGAGGCCGAAAGGCGUAGUCGAUGGGAAACGGGUUAAUAUUCCCGUACUUGGUGUUACUGCGAAGGGGGGACGGAGAAGGCUAUGUUGGCCGGGCGACGGUUGUCCCGGUUUAAGCGUGUAGGUGUGUGUUCCAGGUAAAUCCGGUUCACUUUAACACUGAGGCGUGACGACGAGGCACUACGGUGCUGAAGCAACAAAUGCCCUGCUUCCAGGAAAAGCCUCUAAGCAUCAGGUAACACGAAAUCGUACCCCA
rnacentral:rRNA from 3 species